CUUGCCGUUGUUUUUGAUUAAAAUUACACAUGCAAGUAUCCGCACACCCGUGAAAAUGCCCCAAACAAAACGGAGCGGGCAUCAGGCACGAACCCUCAGCCCAAAACGCCUUGCUACGCCACACCCCCACGGGACAUCAGCAGUGAUAAGUAUUAAGCCAUGAGCGAGACGACACAUUAAAGCUCGACUUAGUUAUAAUCAUAACCCAAGGGCCGGCCAAUCUCGUGCCAGCCGCCGCGGUUAUACGAGAGGCCCAAAACAACGACAAAACGGCGUAAAUUGUGACUAGAAUUACUAAGCCCCAAACUAAGAAAUAAACCACCACCUUACCGUAAAACCCAGGUGGUAUGAAACUUCUUAUCCCAAAGCAAUUUGAACCCACGAAAACUAAGAAACAAACUAGGAUUAGAUACCCUACUAUGCUUAGAUGUAAAUAAGACGACCAACCAACAAUUAAUCGUCCGCCAGAGAACUACAAGCGAAAAGCUUAAAACUCAAAAGACUUGACGGUGUCCCACACCCGACUUAGAGGAGCCUGUCCUAUAAUCGAUAACCCACGAUAAACCCCACCAUCCUUUGCUAAAUCCGCCUAUAUACCGCCGUCGCAAAUCUACCUUUCAAAAGAACAGCAGUAGGUACAACAGUAACUAACGCUAAAACGUCAGGUCAAGGUGUAGCUAAUAAGAUGGAAGAGAUGGGCUACAUUCUUUACACCAUAAAGCAAACAGGAAAAACCUUGAAACAGGUUUCAAAAGGAGGAUUUAACAGUAAAGCUGGCAAGAAAGCCACCUUUAAACCCGCUCUGGGACGCGUACACACCGCCCGUCACCCU
rnacentral:ncRNA from 1 species